GAGCGCAACCCUUAUCCUUUGUUGCCAGCGGUUCGGCCGGGAACUCAAAGGAGACUGCCAGUGAUAAACUGGAGGAAGGUGGGGUGACGUCAAGUCAUCAUGGCCCUUACGAGUAGGGCUACACACGUGCUACAAUGGCGCAUACAAAGAGAAGCGACCUCGCGAGAGCAAGCGGACCUCAUAAAGUGCGUCGUAGUCCGGAUUGGAGUCUGCAACUCGACUCCAUGAAGUCGGAAUCGCUAGUAAUCGUAGAUCAGAAUGCUGCGGUGAAUACGAUCCCGGGUCUUGUACAACACCA
rnacentral:rRNA from 1 species